AUUGAACGCUGGCGGCAGGCCUAACACAUGCAAGUCGAGCGAGCGGCGGACGGGUGAGUAAUGUAUGGGGACUGCCCGAUAGAGGGGGAUAACUACUGGAAACGGUAGCUAAUACCGCAUACUAUCGGAUAACCCAUAUGGGAUUAGCUAGUAGGUGAGGUAAUGGCUCACCUAGGCGACGAUCCCUAGCUGGUCUGAGAGGAUGAUCAGCCACACUGGGACUGAGACACGGCCCAGACUCCUACGGAGGCAGCAGUAGGGAAUCUUCGGCAAUGGACGAAAGUCUGACCGAGCAACGCCGCGUGAGUGAAGAAGGCCCUAGGGUUGUAAAGUACUUUCAGUCGGGAGGCGUUACCGACAGAAGAAGCACCGGCUAACUCCGUGCCAGCAGCCGCGGUAAUAC
rnacentral:rRNA from 1 species